CUCCCAGGUUCCCUCUGCCAUUGCAGAGCUCUUCGACCUAUUGUAAUCGUCACCAGACAAAAUGAGUCUUUUUCCUUCCAGACAGAUUGGAGGCAAAGGACAGUGCUUUAGAGUCAAUGUUACAUUUAAGAAACAACAUGCAAUUCAAACCUUGUAAUUAUCAUGAUUUUUCAGACUGGCAGUGAAGAUGGGAGCAAGAAGGCAGCAGUGAACCUGGGAGAAAGGAGAGACUUUUUUUCAUUUUUUUCAGCUUCUAUUUCUUCCCCACUGACAAAAGAAAGAAAAUAAGGACUUUCAUGGAAAACUAAAUUAAGGUGAAGGCUGAUAUCUUAAUAGGCUCUGCCUAGAUCUGUGCAUCUCAAUUCUUG
rnacentral:lncRNA from 1 species